rnacentral:rRNA from 1 species
AUGGCUCAGGACGAACGCUGGCGGCGUGCUUAACACAUGCAAGUUGAACGGUAUGACAUGGAAGCUUGCUGAAGUGUCAUAUAGUAGCGGACGGGUGAGUAAUGCAUGAGAAGCUGCCAUUGGGAGGGGGACAACAGUUGGAAACGGCUGCUAAUACCCCGUAUGCCGGAGGGUGAAAGGGAGUAAUCCGCCCGACGAGGUGCUCAUGUCCUAUCAGCUGGUUGGUGGGGUAACGGCCUACCAAGGCGACGACGGGUAGCCGGCCUGAGAGGGUGAACGGCCACACUGGAACUGAGAUACGGUCCAGACUCCUACGGGAGGCAGCAGUGGGGAAUAUUGGGCCAAUGGGGGCAACCCUGACCCAGCGACGCCGCGUGGGGGAAGACGGCCUUCGGGUUGUAAACCUCUUUUGUACGGGAAGAAGGAAGUGACGGUACUGUACGAAUAAGUCCCGGCUAACUACGUGCCAGCCGCUGC